GACGUAGGGCGCGAGCGUUGUCCGGAUUUAUUGGGCGUAAAGAGCUCGUAGGCGGCUCGUUGCGUCGGCUGUGAAAACCCGCAGCUCAACUGUGGGCUUGCAGCCGAUACGGGCGGGCUAGGAUUCGGUAGGGGAGACUGGAAUUCCCUGGUGUAGCGGUGAAAUGCGCAGAUAAUCAGGAGGGAACACCGGUGGGCGAAGGCGGGGUCUCUGGGCCGAUAUCGACGCUGGAGGAGCGAAAGCCGUGGGGGAGCGAAACAGGGAU
rnacentral:rRNA from 1 species